CCGGCCUAAUGGUGGAUUUAGUUAGCCUCCUCUGGAUCAGAGAACUGUGCCUUUGCUGUAGUAUCUGAGCCUACUUUACUGAACUUAAGUGUGGUAUUAUUCUCCAGAGUUCUCAGAGCAUCCUCAGCCCACUCUUAGCCAGAAGACAGAGCUUAGAACUCCUUUUGGUUUCUGCUGUUGGAUCAAAGAGCCUUAGCCCGCCAUAAGACAGGGUUUUUCAAGGGCUGCUUUGAGCAGAGACAGCUACAUCUGGGGGCAAUGCAAUAUAUAAAUAAACUGGUUAGAAAGAC